UGUUCCGUGGCUUAGCUGGUUAAAGCACCGGUCCAGCGAAUACGGAGUCUUGGGUUCGAAUCCCAUCAGAACAC
rnacentral:tRNA from 1 species